rnacentral:rRNA from 1 species
UACGUAGGGUGCAAGCGUUAAUCGGAAUUACUGGGCGUAAAGCGUGCGCAGGCGGUUUUGUAAGUCUGAUGUGAAAUCCCCGGGCUCAACCUGGGAAUUGCAUUGGAGACUGCAAGGCUAGAAUCUGGCAGAGGGGGGUAGAAUUCCACGUGUAGCAGUGAAAUGCGUAGAGAUGUGGAGGAACACCGAUGGCGAAGGCAGCCCCCUGCGUCAAGAUUGACGCUCAUGCACGAAAGCGUGGGGAGCAAACAGG